AGAUUGAACGCUGGCGGCAGGCCUAACACAUGCAAGUCGAGCGGCAGCACGGGUACUUGUACCUGGUGGCGAGCGGCGGACGGGUGAGUAAUGCCUAGGAAUCUGCCUGGUAGUGGAGGAUAACGCUCGGAAACGGACGCUAAUACCGCAUACGUCCUACGGGAGAAAGCAGGGGGACCUUCGGGCCUUGCGCUAUCAGAUGAGCCUAGGUCGGAUUAGCUAGUUGGUGAGGUAAUGGCUCACCAAGGCGACGAUCCGUAACUGGUCUGAGAGGAUGAUCAGUCACACUGGAACUGAGACACGGUCCAGACUCCGUACGGGAGCAGCAGUGGGGAAUA
rnacentral:rRNA from 1 species